rfam:Oryza nivara chromosome 1, whole genome shotgun sequence.
AAUAAGUAUAGUUUUGUACUAUUCACGUUCAACGUUUGACCGUUCAUCUUAUUUAAAAUCUUUUUAUGAUUAGUAUUUUAUUGCUAUUAGAUGAUAAAACAUGAAUAUUACUUUAUGUGUGACUAAAUAUUUUUAAAUUUUUCAAAUAAGACGGACGGUCAAACGUAGGGCACGGAUAUCCACGAAUACAUUUAUU